rnacentral:rRNA from 1 species
UACGGAGGAUGCGAGCGUUAUCCGGAUUUAUUGGGUUUAAAGGGUGCGUAGGCGGGACCUUAAGUCAGCGGUAAAAUUGCGGUGCUCAACGCCGUAGAGCCGUUGAAACUGGGGAUCUAGAGUGUGCGAGAGGUAUGCGGAAUGCGUGGUGUAGCGGUGAAAUGCAUAGAUAUCACGCAGAACGCCGAUUGCGAAGGCAGCUUACCGGCGCUCAACUGACGCUGAGGCACGAAAGUGCGGGUAUCAAACAGG